rnacentral:rRNA from 1 species
AGGAUGAACGCUGGCGGUCUGCUUAACACAUGCAAGUCGAACGGAGUAGCAAUACUUAGUGGCGGACGGGUGAGUAACGCGUGAGAAUCUACCUUCAGGACGGAGACAACAGUUGGAAACGACUGCUAACCCCCGAUGUACUGAAAAGGCAAAUAUUUAUAGCCUGAAGAAGAGCUCGCGUCCGAUUAGCUAGUUGGAGAGGUAAAAGCUCACCAAGGCGACGAUCGGUAGCUGGUCUGAGAGGACGAUCAGCCACACUGGGACUGAGACACGGCCCAGACUCCUACGGGAGGCAGCAGUGGGAAUUUUCCGCAAUGGGCGAAAGCCUGACGGAGCAAGACCGCGUGGGGGAAGAAGGCUCUUGGGUUGUAAACCCCUUUUCUCUGGAAGAACACAAUGACGGUACCAGAGGAAUCAGCAUCGGCUAACUCCGUGCCAGCAGCCGC